ACAAUUUGAAACACAAAGAGUUGAUUAAAAUGCUUCUGUUCUUUUCUGUUCCUCCAGGGUGGACAAUACCCUUUUCUAUUUGGUUGACAACUAUGCUUUCAGUGGGGCAUGUUCUUUUUUCAUUGCCACUUUUGAAACCAUUUGUAUUGGAUGGGUAUACGUUGGGUGCUUCCUGUUUUUGCAGGCGCUGACCUUUUCUGCUGCAGCAUUGCGGAUACGAUGGGCUAUCGUCCGUUCAGUACUGCUGGCUCUACAUAACCCCAGCUGUCUUGCUUGGUAGGUGUUUUUCCCCCAAUCCUUUUAAAUUUGCGUCUCUUCAUCGUUGGCUCCCAGCCAUCUAUGGGACAGGAAUGAAACACAGAAGUCAAAGGGACCUUUUUAUGGACACUUAUUUGGUAUGUACUUCUUGUACGUCUUAAACUCCAGUACAUGUUUUCUGUUUUAUCAGUUAAUUAAUUUUAAAUCUCCUUCAUAGACAGACUUAUUGAUGGGAUUUCUUCAAAAAAGGACUGUGUCCUGGUUUGAAUGAUUUAUUUUAUCUCUCUUGUUAUAUUUAUAAAU
rnacentral:lncRNA from 1 species